rnacentral:rRNA from 1 species
UACGUAGGGGGCAAGCGUUGUCCGGAAUCAUUGGGCGUAAAGAGCGUGUAGGCGGCUCGGUAAGUCCGCUCUGAAAGCCCGGGGCUCAACCCCGGGAGGCGGGCGGAUACUGUCGGGCUAGAGUCCGGAAGGAGGCGAGUGGAAUUCCUGGUGUAGCGGUGAAAUGCGCAGAUAUCAGGAGGAACACCAAUGGCGAAGGCGGCUACCUGGACCAGCACUGACACUGAGGCACGAAAGCGUGGGGAGCAAACAGG